AUUGAACGCUGGCGGCAGGCUUAACACAUGCAAGUCGAGCGAGCGGCGGACGGGUGAGUAAUGUCUGGGAAACUGCCUGGUGGAGGGGGAUCACUACUGGAAACGGUCGCUAAUACCGCAUACACUCAGAUGUUCCCAGAUGGGAUUAGCUGGUAGGGGGGGUAAUGGCUCACCUAGGCGACGCUCCCUAGCUGGGCUGAGUGGAUGACCAGCCACACGGGAACUGUGACACGGUCCAGACUCCUACGGGAGGCAGCAGGGGGGAAUAGUGCACAAUGGGCGCAAGCCUGAUGCAGCCAUGCCGCGUGUGGGAAGAAGGCCUUCGGGUUGUAAAGCACUUUCAGCGAGGAGGCGUUACUCGCAGAAGAAGCACCGGCUAACUCCGUGCCAGCAGCCGCGGUAAUAC
rnacentral:rRNA from 1 species